UAUUGUCAUGUGCAGACAAGUGUUUGAAGUAGAUCUGGUCGAUCCAACACCAAUAUUCCUUUGGACUUAAACCCAUUCAAUCAUUAAUUUUACAGUUUCACAUUUUGAGCCCAGACUGUAUCUGUGAAACUACAACCAACCAGCAUUUAGGACUGGAUUAGUCUGGAUCAGACUCACACCUGGUCCAAUGGCACUACUUUUAUUCUGGAAGUAUUUGGUUUGUAGACCAGUGGAAUUCAAAACAUG